rnacentral:rRNA from 1 species
GAUGAACGCUGGCGGCGUGCCUAAUACAUGCAAGUCGAGCGAACAGACGAGGAGCUUGCUCCUCUGACGUUAGCGGCGGACGGGUGAGUAACACGUGGAUAACCUACCUAUAAGACUGGGAUAACUUCGGGAAACCGGAGCUAAUACCGGAUAAUAUAUUGAACCGCAUGGUUCAAUAGUGAAAGACGGUUUUGCUGUCACUUAUAGAUGGAUCCGCGCCGCAUUAGCUAGUUGGUAAGGUAACGGCUUACCAAGGCAACGAUGCGUAGCCGACCUGAGAGGGUGAUAGGCCACACUGGAACUGAGACACGGUCCAGACUCCUACGGGAGGCAACAGUAGGGAAUCUUCCGCAAUGGGCGAAAGCCUGACGGAGCAACGCCGCGUGAGUGAUGAAGGUCUUCGGAUCGUAAAACUCUGUUAUUAGGGAAGAACAAAUGUGUAAGUAACUAUGCACGUCUUGACGGUACCUAAUCAGAAAGCCACGGCUAACUACGUG